UACAGGGGGUGCAAACGUUGCUCGGAAUCACUGGGCGUAAAGCGCACGUAGGCGGAUUGUUAAGUCAGGGGUGAAAUCCUGGAGCUCAACUCCAGAACUGCCUUUGAUACUGGCGAUCUUGAGUCCGGGAGAGGUGAGUGGAACUGCGAGUGUAGAGGUGAAAUUCGUAGAUAUUCGCAAGAACACCAGUGGCGAAGGCGGCUCACUGGCCCGGUACUGACGCUGAGGUGCGAAAGCGUGGGGAGCAAACAGG
rnacentral:rRNA from 1 species